CUGAUCGAUGUUUGCAAUUAUCUGCUCGUAACAAGUCUCGAUGUAACUACUAAAAGACAUCGACAACUGAUAAUUAAUUCGAUUGGCAGCCAGUCUGUUGGAAUAGUAACGUAAUACGCAAUUUACUUGGUGGCCGCUUCAGGGUUCUUCGAGUUCUUCGUAUCGCCGACCCAGAUCAGACCAUAAUCGGCCAAGAACUUCUGCAAAACGAGGACAAGGUCAUCUUCGUCGUCUACUACAUACGUCGAUGUCGAAGAAAUUCGCCUUAAUCUGCGAAUGGAAAAGACACGCGAAGCUCUAUUAACCUCUUAGCCGUGAUCUCACCUUUCUUUUGCAAUUCGAGUGACUCCGGUGAGUAUGCCGUUUAAGUAUCGUGCAUUUAUUCGAUUUGGUAGAGCGUGUGCAGAAGUUUAGGGUACUUGUGUUUGCUGAUGGGACUCGGAUGGACGCCUGAAGGACACUUUGCAAGUUUCUUUCGUGGGUGCCCAGAAUUGGUCGGUUGAUUCAUUGUGAGCACGUUGUCGUUGGACACGUGUUUUCACGACAGCUACAUUGAAAAUUUUUUCGAAACUUUCUAAACGUCGGCUACCGACGUCGCAUUUGUGAAACACUAGGUAAGGACGAGAUCGGGCAUGAACACUGCGAUUUAUGGCGACACACAGCCGAAGGAACAAUCGGUGUGAAAUUGGUUUCGAUUACGGUGUGUCUGUAUCGCAAGUCCAAACGAAUAUCUAUGUUAGCAUUUUUACAGUACUGGAUAACCUUGGCGAAAAAAUUGUAUUUCACUGAGAAAACAAUGUUCUUCAUAGUACGAGAUUCGAGAAAUAUUGUGCUUUGAAGAUAUUUGUCGACGUAUCUGUUAAAUUGAUCAUUCUUGGUAAUCCGACCUGGUGAUGCAUUUAAUAAAAAUAAAACGGUUCAAAUCAGUGAAAGUCGAGACCUUCAUAAUGCCAAGCUAGAUUUAACCUACUUACAAUUAGAACGUAUGCACGAAUAAAUAAUGCACAUGUCAAAAGAGUUUUUGUUAGCACGUCCAUCAUGCAUGUAUUAUUCAAAUUUGUUGCGCAAACUAGAGUAGAAAGAGAUGUUUUGCGUAACCAAACAAAUACGAAGAAUGUUUAGAUGAACAGUUUUUAAGAGAUCCACGAAAUUAAUCGCUUCCACUGAAAUUUCGGAAUGGCUCGAAUAAGAAAUUUUGAAUAAAAUUACAUAAAAUGUUUUGAA